rnacentral:rRNA from 1 species
GACGGAGGAUGCAAGCGUUAUCCGGAAUGAUUGGGCGUAAAGAGCUCGUAGGCGGUCUGUCGCGUCUGCUGUGAAAACUCAGGGCUUAACCCUGAGCUUGCAGUGGGUACGGGCAGACUAGAGUGCGGUAGGGGAGACUGGAAUUCCUGGUGUAGCGGUGAAAUGCGCAGAUAUCAGGAGGAACACCGGUGGCGAAGGCGGGUCUCUGGGCCGUAACUGACGCUGAGGAGCGAAAGCAUGGGGAGCGAACAGG